UCAACUGGACUGUCAGCUACAGCACCUGCACGAGGCUUCCUCGUGAGACGGGGGCUUCCUCACAACAUGGUGGCCUGCAGUGCUCUGACACCUUGGGGCCUGGCUGACCCUGGAGGGGCUGCCCUUCCCUGGGUAAACUAGCCCCUUGAGUGUACUUUUCAAAUGCAAACCAACCACUCCCACCACCUGCCCUGAUCAACCCAGGGCCAGGUACCAGGGGCAGCCCCUCUGUCCCAGAGCCCCCUGACAUAAUUCAAACAAUCCUAAGCCUGCUGACCCUGCCUUGCCUGUUCCCUUCCACGGAAACCACAGUAAAGGCUCUUGGCCACAUUUCUGCUCCUCUGGCUCUGUCUCCUGACCAACCCCAGCUCUCCCCCUGUGGCCCCCCAUGAUGUGGCAUGGCCCCUCUUCUUGGGGUCUAUAAGUUCAUCUGUACCAUUUUUCUAGAUUCCAGAUGUGGAGAAAAGGGAG